GACGAAGGAUGCAAGCGUUAUCCGGAUUCAUUGGGUUUAAAGGGAGCGUAGGUGGCCUUAUAAGUCAGUGGUGAAAUCCCGCAGCUUAACUGUGGAAUUGCCAUUGAUACUGUAGGGCUUGAGUACAGAUGCCGUUGGCGGAAUAUGACAUGUAGUGGUGAAAUACAUAGAGAUGUCAUAGAACACCGAUUGCGAAAGGCAGCUGACGAAACUGUAACUGACAUUGAGGCUCGAAAGUGCGGGGGAUCAAACAGG
rnacentral:rRNA from 1 species